CGGACGGGUGAGUAACGCGUAGGAACCUAUCGCACAGUGGGGAUAACACGGGGAAACCGGUGCUAAUACCGCAUGUGGUCAGCGAUGAAGAAAGCAGCAAUGCGCUGUGUGAGGGGCCUGCGUCCGAUUAGCUAGUUGGUGGGGUAAAGGCCCACCAAGGCGACGAUCGGUAGCCGGCCUGAGAGGGCACACGGCCACACUGGCACUGAAACACGGGCCAG
rnacentral:rRNA from 1 species